rnacentral:rRNA from 1 species
ACGAACGCUGGCGGCGUGCUUAACACCUGCAAGUCGAGCGGAAGGGCCUGCUUUCCCUUGUGGAUUGCGGGUACUCGAGUGGCGAACGGGUGAGUAACACGUGAGUGAUCUGCCCCCAACUUGGGUAUAAGCCUGGGAAACUGGGUCUAAUUCCCGAUAGGACUGCAGGGUGGUGCCUGUGGUGGAAAACGAUUUUCUAGUGGUUGGGGAUGAGCUCGCGGCCUAUCAGCUUGUUGGUGGGGUAAUGGCCUACCAAGGCGGCAACGGGUAGCCGGCCUGAGAGGGUGGACGGCCACAUUGGGACUGAGAUACGGCCCAGACUCCUACGGGAGGCAGCAGUGGGGAAUAUUGCACAAUGGGCGGAAGCCUGAUGCAGCGACGCCGCGUGGGGGAUGACGGCCUUCGGGUUGUAAACUCCUUUCGACCGCGAGGAAGCCACCUGGUUGGAAGGGUGGUGACGGUAGUGGUAGAAGAAGCACCGGCUAACUACGUG